UUGCAAAUCACAUUCAGGAAGAAAAGAAAACACGCAAGAGGUUAUAUCAUUUCAUCGAUUUCCGAAGAACACUGGAAACACGAAGUUCAAGGUGCGAUGAUCGCGUUUACUCCCUGGACCCCACCAAAAAGGAGAAGGCCAAGAAGCUAAAACAGAGCCUGUCCCCAGGUCUCUAUAUGAGGGGUGAAAGUGAAGUAAUGAUUAAUGUAUGACUAAGUCUAGUCAAAAGUCAUAAUAAACGCAAUUUGUACAUUACCUUGCCUAUUUUCAAUAUUAAUAAAAGUGAUAAAUUUAAUACAUUUUUAGUGUCAUUAGUUAUGUAUGAAGUUUAUAUUAUUUUUAAGGUGAGAACAUAAGCACGUGCAAAAUAUAUCGAUAAUUAAAUCGACACAGUCACAUCCCUGGCUAAACACGAAAUCUCACAAAACUGGCGACCACCUACC